CAACAAACGCAAUGCACAUAACAAUUUAGAAACUGAAUAAGUAUAACAACUAUUUACAAUUUACACAGAUAAUCCAUGAUGAAGCGAGUUCACUAAAUAGUUUUUUUUUAAAAAAAAAAAAAAAUCUUUGAAACAUCUAUUUGCAUAAUUUUUUUUGCUUCCGCAUGGAAAAGUUGCGUGGAUAAGCAUUAAAUUUCUCAAUUUCUAACUGUAUUACUAUGCUAGCCAUCUUAUAGAUCACAUUAAUUUUGUCAACACUAAUCAUUUAAAAACAGUAGCUACUACAGUGAUGAAUAAAAAACCGAACUAUUAAUUAGAUCAAGUAACGAAUCCCUAGAUUUUCGAGUAGUAUCGACUUAAAUCUAAAUCACUACAACAAAUACUAAUGCCCAAUUGCAUAAACUACACAUCAAUUUUGCGCAAAUGAUCCCCGAACAAGUUAAUGGCGAAAGAUCUAAACAGAUCCGAGAAAGACGAACGCAUCAAAGAGAUCGAAAGAGGAAGACGAGGAAGAAGAAGCGUACCCCUCCAUCCGUGAACGAGAAUUGAUCGGCCAUAGCGUGAGAGAUCAAAUCCAAGUAUUAGAUCUGAUGAUGCUACUCUUACUCCUGCGAUUAUCGAGUAUUAGAUCGGAUUUUUCGCCACGAAGACAAAAAAGUAAAAAAUCCUAGAUCGAUUCGAAAAAAGUGUGGAAAAAUAUUAAAAAGAAUCCGCGAUUCGGAGCAAUGCGAUUUGUGGAAAUUGAGAGAGAGAAGGAGAAGAGAUGGGGACGGGGAAAAAUUGAUACCACGUUUACGCCACUUGUGGAACUUUCUCUUAAAAAAAAAAAAAAAAUCGUACCUGUAAAUAUUUUUGUAAUUUAAAAGAAAUUCGUAUAUGUAUAAAUACAUUAUUUAAUGGCUAUUUUCCUCAA
rnacentral:lncRNA from 1 species